AACGAACGCUGGCGGCGUGCUUAACACAUGCAAGUCGAACGCGAAAGUUUUCUUCGGAAGACGAGUAGAGUGGCGAACGGGUGAGUAACGCGUGAAGAACCUGCCUUCGAGAGGGGGAUAACACUCCCAACGGGGUGCUAAUACCGCAUGAGACCACGGGUCCACCUGGGCCUGAGGUCAAAGGUGGCCUCUGCUUGCAAGCUACCGCUCGAAGAUGGCUUCGCGUCCCAUUAGCUAGUUGGCGGUGUAACGGACCACCAAGGCGACGAUGGGUAGCUGGUCUGAGAGGAUGGUCAGCCACACUGGGACUGAGAUACGGCCCAGACUCCUACGGGUGGCAG
rnacentral:rRNA from 1 species